ACGCACGCUGGCGGCAUGCCUAACACAUGCCAGUCGAACGAGACCUUCGGGUCUAGUGGCGCACGGGUGCGUCACGCGUGGGAACCUGCCCUUAGGUUCGGAAUAACUCCCCGAAAGGGGUGCUAAUACCGGAUAAUGUCUUCGGACCAAAGAUUUAUCGCCUUUGGAUGGGCCCGCGUUGGAUUAGCUAGUUGGUAGGGUAAAAGCCUACCAAGGCGACGAUCCAUAGCUGGUCUGAGAGGAUGAUCAGCCACACUGGGACUGAGACACGGCCCAGACUCCUACGGGAGGCAGCAGUGGGGAAUAUUGGACAAUGGGCGAAAGCCUGAUCCAGCAAUGCCGCGUGAGUGAUGAAGGCCUUAGGGUUGUAAAGCUCUUUUACCCGGGAUGAUAAUGACAGUACCGGGAGAAUAAGCUCCGGCUAACUCCGUG
rnacentral:rRNA from 1 species